UACGAAGGGGGCUAGCGUUGCUCGGAAUCACUGGGCGUAAAGGGUGCGUAGGCGGGUUUUUAAGUCAGGGGUGAAAUCCCGGGGCUCAACCCCGGAACUGCCCUUGAAACUGGAACGCUAGAAUCGUGGAGAGGUGAGUGGAAUUCCGAGUGUAGAGGUGAAAUUCGUAGAUAUUCGGAAGAACACCAGUGGCGAAGGCGGACUCACUGGACUGGUAUUGACGCUGAGGUGCG
rnacentral:rRNA from 1 species